AGCCCAAGUGAACGACACCAAAAUGCAAAUUUGGAGACGCACCCUAACAGGUGCCGGGGCUUCUCCCGUCUUACGCGAAACGGGAGAAGC
rnacentral:tRNA from 2 species